UACGUAGGUGGCAAGCGUUGUCCGGAUUUAUUGGGUUUAAAGGGUGCGUAGGCGGCUUUGUAAGUCAGUGGUGAAAUCCUCCAGCUUAACUGGAGGGGUGCCAAUGAUACUGCAGGGCUUGAGUACAGAUGAGGUAGGCGGAAUUGACGGUGUAGCGGUGAAAUGCAUAGAUAUCGUCAAGAACACCGAUAGCGAAGGCAGCUUACUGGGCUGUAACUGACGCUGAGGCACGAAAGUGUGGGGAUCAAACAGG
rnacentral:rRNA from 1 species